AUGAACGCUAGCGGCAGGCUUAACACAUGCAAGUCGAGGGGUAACAGGGUGCUUGCACCGCUGACGACCGGCGCACGGGUGCGUAACGCGUAUACAAUCUACCUUUUACAGAGAGAUACCCCAGAGAAAUUUGGAAUAAUACCUCAUAAUAUUAUUGCUCGGCAUCGAGUGACAAUUAAAGUUUCGGCGGUAAAAGAUGAGUAUGCGUCCUAUUAGCUAGUUGGUAAGGUAACGGCUUACCAAGGCGACGAUAGGUAGGGGUCCUGAGAGGGAGAUCCCCCACACUGGUACUGAGACACGGACCAGACUCCUACGGGAGGCAGCAGUGAGGAAUAUUGGUCAAUGGGCGAAAGCCUGAACCAGCCAUGCCGCGUGCAGGAAGACUGCCCUAUGGGUUGUAAACUGCUUUUAUACAGGAAGAAACACUCGGACGUGUCCGAGCUUGACGGUACUGUAUGAAUAAGCACCGGCUAACUCCGU
rnacentral:rRNA from 1 species